rnacentral:rRNA from 1 species
GACGAACGCUGGCGGCGUGCCUAAUACAUGCAAGUCGAACGCAGGUGGGACGGGUUAGUAACACGUGGGUAACCUACCAUCAGAGGGGAUAACACUUGGAAACAGGUGCUAAACCGAUACUGAUGGAUGGAGCCGCCGUGCAUUAGCUAGUAGGUGCGGUAAUGGCUCACCGAGGCGACGAGGCAUAGCCGGCCUGAGAGGAUGAUCGGCCAAACUUGGACUGAGACACGGCCCAGACUCCUACGGGAGGCAGCAGUGGGGAAUAUUCGACAAUGGACGAAAGUCUGACGGAGCAAGGCCGCGUGUAUGAAGAAGGUUUUCGGGUUGUAAAGCUCUGUUGUUAGGGAGGCGUUAUCGAAACAGGAAGCACCGGCUAACUACGUGCCAGCAGCCGCGGUAAUUC